rnacentral:misc_RNA from 1 species
AAGACUAUAGACCUGCGGAGUACCUGCGGAGGGAUCAUUACUGAGUGAGGGCCCUCUGGGUCCAACCUCCCACCCGUGUUUAUUGUACCUUGUUGCUUCGGUGGGCCCGCCGCAAGGCCGCCGGGGGCUUCCGCCCCGGGCCCGCGCCCACCGGAGACAAACUGAACUCUGUCUGAAUGUUGCAGUCUGAGUAAAAACUUAAUAAGUUAAAACUUUCAGCAACGGAUCUCUAGAUCGGAA